CAUCAUCGGGGGGUUGGAUACAGAUUGCCGGGCUUCGGUCUUGCCUUCUGCCCUUCCCUUACUGAUUUUACCCAUGUCUUUUGCGUACUAUUUGUUUCCUUGGUGGGCUUGCCUGCCAUUAGGACAACCAUUAAACCUUUUUGUAAUUGCAGUCAGCGUCAGUAAAAUUUAAUCGUUACAACUUUCAACAACGGAUCUCUUGGUUCU
rnacentral:misc_RNA from 1 species